rnacentral:rRNA from 1 species
UACGUAGGGUGCAAGCGUUAUCCGGAAUUAUUGGGCGUAAAGAGCUCGUAGGCGGUUCGGUAAGUCGGGUGUGAAACCUCCAGGCUCAACCUGGAGAGGCCACCUGAUACUGCUGUGACUCGAGUCCGGUAGGGGAGCGUGGAAUUCCUGGUGUAGCGGUGAAAUGCGCAGAUAUCAGGAGGAACACCAGCGGCGAAGGCGGCGCUCUGGGCCGGAACUGACGCUGAGGAGCGAAAGCAUGGGGAGCGAACAGG